AAUGGCCUUUUGGCUGAACCAGUAACUUAGAGGAAUCUAAUUCGGUUUUAAAAUUUAUAAAUUCUAGGCAUCAAAGAAUGAUGACUAUUUUUGUCUAUAAGUAUUGACCAAAUUACGUGCCAGCCGUCGCGGUAAUACGUAAAAUACAAGUGUUAUUCGUCUUUAAUGGGUUUAAAGGGUACCUAGACAGAAAAUAAAGCCAUAAUAGGGACUAAUUUUCUAGAGUUUUAUAAGAGAAAAUAGAAUUAUUAGAAGAGAGAUGAAAUUCGGUGAUACUAAUAAGACUGGUAACAGCGAAGGCAAUUUUCUAUGUAAAAACUGACGUUGAGGGACGAAGCCUAGGGUAACGAUAAGGAUUAGAUACCCUAAUAGUCCUAGGAGAAAAUUAUGAAUGCCAUAGGCUAGAUAAUUUGGCUUAUAAAUGAAAGUGCAAGCAUUCCACCUUACAAGUAAAGCGGCAACGCCGAAACUGAAAUCAUUAGACCGUUACUGAAAACAGUAGUGAAGUAUGUUAUUUAAUUCGAUAAUCCGCGAAUAACCUUACCACAAUUUGAAUAUUAUUACAAGCGUUGCACGGCUGUCUUCAGCUUAUGUCGUGAGCUUAUGGUUAGAUCCAUUAAUAAGCGUAAACCCUUGCUUUAUUUAAUAAGAGAACACUAUUUAUUUUUAUAAAGCAUUUUCACUAAUAUACAUAUAUAUAUUGGUAAAAUAGUAGGGAAUAAGACAAGUCAUCAUGGCCUUAAUAUUGU
rnacentral:rRNA from 1 species